UCCUCUGAGACAGAUGCGAUGAAGCUCCAGCCCAAGAUGGACGUAUGCUAGAAACUAAACGGACUGGUACUGUCUACUCCUAUCUCUGGUCUUUCCAGUUGACACACCUACUACGCAUGGCCAUGUCUGCUUAAUGAAGAGGUACCUUGUCCUAUGUGAGUUGCAUGCAGGCUGGCACACAGAACACUGCUAUGGUCACUUGUGGCUGCUGUACUUGAAUGACCUCUGCUUUACAAAGGCCAGCAAGGGAUGCCACAUUCUCAAACAUUCCUUAUCUUGAAGCCCAGAAGAGAUUCCCAGAACAAGAACUACAUAAAGAAACCAAGAACUGAGGUACCGACAAAGGCUCCAGCACUCCUCUCCUGAGAGCUGCAUUUAUACCACACAAAUGGCAGACAUUGACUGGGAAACAGGUCAAGAGCCAGCUUUAUCUGGCCAAGAGCCUGCUAAGACUUGGAGAGCCCUGACCACCUACCUACCUGUCCACUUCACUGUGAGCACUGUCAGUGCUGUGACGCUGGUUGCAAAAAGAGUUCUGGAAGCCCAAAACAGAGUCCCUACAGCCUUCUGGACAGACUAAUCUCAUUUCAUGCCUCCCGCACAAAAAACAAGGUAAAGGUAGUGACAACAAUAGAACAAAGGAUACCUCAUCUUCCUUGUCCCUUUCUAUAGCUGCCUGUUCAGGACUGCUGGGAUAAUUAAGUGGAUUAUGGGAAAUGACCAGAAUGGUCUCUUGGACAGUACCCUAAGUUCAGCUCCAUUUGUAUGUAUGGGGGGGGGAGACAGGGUCUCACUAUGCAGUCUCAGCUAUCCUAGAACUAUGUAGACCAGGCUAGCCUCAAAUUUAGAGAACUGCCUGCCUCUGCAGUGCUGGAAUUAAAGAUGUAUGGCUUAACCCAGCUUCAUUUUUAAAAAUACUCUCUUUCAAUCCACAACUAACCACUAGACCAAGCUCCUGGAGUACAAUCAAAGUGAGUGAGAAGCAAUAAUAUGAACAAAGGGGUAAAGACCAUGAUGGGGAAACCCACAGAAAUCAGCUGACCCAAGCUAGUGGGAGAUCACUGACUCUUGACUGACAACCGGGGAACCGG